UACGUAGGGUGCGAGCGUUAUUCGGAUUUAUUGGGCGUAAAGCGUGCGUAGGCGGCUGUUUAAGUCUGGUGUUAAAGCUAGGGGCUCAACCCCUGUGGUGCAUCGGAUACUGGGCAGCUUGAGUGCGGUAGGGGAAGGUGGAAUUCCGAGUGUAGCGGUGAAAUGCGUAGAUAUUCGGAAGAACACCGGUGGCGAAGGCGACCUUCUGGGCCGCAACUGACGCUGAGGCACGAAAGCCUGGGGAGCGAACGGG
rnacentral:rRNA from 1 species